UCUCGCGUCUCCUGCCUGCAUCUGCCUGCAGCUUGCUGAGCGCUCCCGAUGCCAAAAACUCGGGAUUUUGGGAGGAGAGCAGAAGCUGCUUUCUCCUGUGUCCCUGAAAUGCAGCCGGACAGCUUCUUCUUAUAAAUUGCAGUUGUGAAGAAAAGACUAAGGAACAGGAGAGACAGUUUUCAGAUUAGUCAACUUCUGUGAUUUCAGAGCUUCAUCACAUGAAUAAGAACAGCCUCACUUUUAAAAUGGUUCCCUGGAUGACCAAAAUACCAAAUUCCUUUAAAAUUGUCCUGAGCCCUUAACAGCACAGAACCAUUAUUAACUUAUUGCCAGGGACUAUAAAAGAGAAUAUUAUUGCUUGGCUACACACUGUAUUUGUUGUUUUGUCUUCUGUUUAUAAGGGAUGUAAAGCAACUGCUGCAUAUCUUUCGACUUUGGAACUAUUUAC